UUUUGCUACCGAAGUGCCUUAAAAGCAUCAGGUCCCAUCUGAGUUUGGACACUAAACAAAGUCAGUUUUGGUUAGUCUUUGGAUGGGAGACCACCAGCAAAUACCAAAUACUGUGGACU
rnacentral:rRNA from 1 species